ensembl:lncRNA
UCGGGGAGGGGAAGCCGCCCUGGCACUGGGCUCGGAGGGCAGAGGAGCACGCCGCGAAGCAGAGCAGGACGCUUCAGGCUGCAGCUCGCCUGGUUCCCCCUUCCCACCAGCAAUCCCACCGCUCCCUCUCCAGUGAAGCUCCCGGCACGGCCCCGGCCCCGCUGGGGGCUGCUGUCGCGGGCGCUUUCUGCACGGUUUGAGCUUUUCUCAUUGUAGCCCCCACCCUGAGCCAGACCCCUCCGCCCCUCGUGGGUCCCGGGGAGCCCCAAAAGCUCAGCCCCGAGGCCAGCUCGUUUGUGCUCACCUGGCUUCAUCUUAGUCCCAAGCCCAGCCACGUCACCUGCCGCCUUAGUGUCCUGGCCAGCCUGGGCCGUCCUGUUCAGGCGUCCUUUCCAGGUGCUGGGCUGGAGCUCAGGGACAGAGCGAGCAGGGAAACACCUCGAGGGAUGCAGAAAGUGGCCCUCUGCCUUUUGCAAGCAGAUCUCUGGUCCUGGCACGCUGCAGAGUCAGCGGGGGAAACCUCCUGCCGUAGCCGCCUGCCCAGCUUGACGCACACAGGGUGAAGGGAAAGCAAAGCUUUGGGUCUUGGGUUUGGACUUCACUAGGUUUGCAAUGGGUGUGAGUUGAGGAACAAGUUAAUGUUUGUGUGAGUGGUGCUGGAUUUUGAGCUCUGCAUGGUUGUCCGCAGGGCUGAGCAGCGCUUGGAAUGCACUGAAAGCGGGUGUUUGUGCAGAGGUUUCGGGGCAAAGGCAGCGCCCCUCCGCAGAGCCAGGCCGGAUGGCUGCGCUCCUUCGCGCCGGCCAGAGCUGGCCAUCAGUGUCGCACGUUGGACCAUGUGCUAUUUUAAUGAAAGCUUUAAAAAAAAAAUCACUUCCCUCCACCUCCCAUUUUCUGUACAUUGCUGGGGUGUUUUUUGCCACGAUUAGACCCAUGGAUCUUUUUUUUUUUUUUCCACUUUCUAUAACAAAGGAAAGCAUGGAACAUGGGUCAUCAAAGUGGAAAUGCCUGGUCACCCCUAGCGCUGUGGUGAAAUCAGAGCUCUCUAGAGAGGUGCAGCCGGUUGUGGGGCCGUCCCGGAUGGUACCAAGGUGGGGAGAGUUUGGGAGCUGCUGUGCUGCAGACAGCUCUCAGCCUGAGAUCCCAAGGGCUCCCAUGGGUUUGAAUCCGUCGAUGGUCCUAGCAGUAGAUGAUAUUGCAGCGGGCUCAGUGAGCCGCUUGGUUUUCAUCGUGAUGCUAUUUGGGAGCUGAUCUGCGCAGGGCAGGUCCGAGGCCGGCCAAAGGCAGGUGGGGGGACCUCUGCCUUCAGAGGGCUUUGAAUGGGGCUGUCCUGCUGCAGAAGGGGGACGAGGAGGGCGUACGUGUCCCUGCCGGAGGGCUGAAGCCACGUUCCUCUGCUUGGAGCCUCCGGGUGACUUGCUCCUCGUGAUCCUUUCAAGGAUGCACUGAACUAAUCUAAAUCUGCACCGAGGCACUGUGGCACUAGAGCGACUUAUGCAAUAUCAAGCUCUUAGCGGGAUUUCUGCGCGUGUUCGCGUGUGGUCCCGUUUAAUUAUCUAUCCCCUCCGGGAUCUGCAGACUUAACUCGCCUCGCUCUUCAGCGCGAGCUCGAGAUGAAAAGCCAGUUUAAACAGGAGCUGUCACCUUCCAUAAAUCAGCGGGCAGCGGUUUGGGGGGUUUUCUUAUAUUGUUGCUUCCUCUUUGAAAAAACCAUCCGUGCUUUCCCUCAGCAGAGCCGGCAGGGCCGUCGGGGUGUCCUUGCAGGGUCGCGCGGGGUCCCCCUCGGGGGGGACCCUUGCUGGGGAGGGGGGUGGAGCCACCCUGCUCCAGGGGUGCACCCCCUCCCGAGCAGAGCCGUAUAGCCCCUGGCGUUUGGGGUGGUGGCGAGCAGGACCCAAGCUCGACCCGUCAGCCUGACCCAGGUUGAAAGUACCCCUUGAAGCAGGACAGCAGCAGAGGGAGAGGAGCGCGGGCGGCCGAGCGCCACCGCGGCGCCGGGGUGUCCCUUGGCGCUGUACCC